UACGUAGGGUGCAAGCGUUGUCCGGAAUUAUUGGGCGUAAAGAGCUCGUAGGCGGUUUGUCGCGUCUGCCGUGAAAUCCCGGGGCUCAACCCCGGGCGUGCAGUGGAUACGGGCUGGCUAGAGGCAGGCAGGGGAGAACGGAAUUCCCGGUGUAGCGGUGAAAUGCGCAGAUAUCGGGAGGAACACCGGUGGCGAAGGCGGUUCUCUGGGCCUUACCUGACGCUGAGGAGCGAAAGCGUGGGGAGCGAACAGG
rnacentral:rRNA from 1 species